rnacentral:rRNA from 1 species
AAGUCGUAACAAGGUUUCCGUAGGUGAACCUGCGGAAGGAUCAUUAAUGAAUUUUUAUUAUAUCCAUCAUCCUGUGAACCGUAAAUUUUAAGCCUGUUGCGAAUGCGAAAAUAAUACAAAAUACAACUUUUAGCAACGGAUCUCUUGGCUCUCGCAUCGAUGAAGAACGCAGCGAAAUGCGAUAAGUAAUGUGAAUUGCAGAAUUCAGUGAAUCAUCGAAUCUUUGAACGCACCUUGCACCCUUUGGCAUUCCGAAGGGUAUGCCUGUUUGAGUGUCUUUAUAACUCUCUUCGGUUCUGAGCUGAUUGCCAGGUAAUUCUGGCUUGCUUUAAAUCUAUGACCCAUCUCACGUAAUAAUAUUUCGCAGAGAUGGGUUCCCCCCCUUAAUCUCAGACCUCAAAUCAGGUAGGACUACCCGCUGAACUUAAGCAUAUCAAUAAGCGGAGGAAAAGAAACUAACAAGGAUUCCCCUAGUAACGGCGAGUGAAGCGGGAAGAGCUCAAAUUUUAAAUCUCACAGGAAAUCUGUGCGAGUUGUAAACUAGAGAAGUGUUUUCCGUGUCAGGGGGUUGUGUAGCAAGUCCCUUGGAAUAGGGCUGUCAUAGAGGGUGAGAAUCCCGUACUUUGCACCGCCCCCCUUCAAAUGUGAUGCACUUUCAAAGAGUCGAGUUGUUUGGGAACGCAGCUCAAAAUGGGUGGUAAAUUCCAUCUAAAGCUAAAUAUUGGCGAGAGACCGAUAGCGAACAAGUACCGUGAGGGAAAGAUGAAAAGCACUUUGAAAAGAGAGUGAAAAAGUACGUGAAAUUGCUAAAAGGGAAACGCUUGGAGUCAGUCGCGCCCCCCUGUUGAAUUCAACCGGCUUGGGGCGGGUCAGCAUCAGUUUCGGCCUUUGUAUAAAGGCCCUUGGUGGUCGCUUUUCGGAGUCUUCCCCCAUCGGUCACAUCCAACGGCCGGAACUGAGGAUUGCAGCGCGGGGGAUACCUCCUCCCCCACCCGGUCUUUAAGGACACGGUUAAACGCGCUUAGGAUGCUGGCAAAAUGGCUUUAAACGACC